UACGGAGGGAGCUAGCGUUGUUCGGAAUUACUGGGCGUAAAGCGCACGUAGGCGGCUUUUUAAGUCAGGGGUGAAAUCCCGGGGCUCAACCCCGGAACUGCCCUUGAAACUGGAGAGCUAGAAUCUUGGAGAGGCGAGUGGAAUUCCGAGUGUAGAGGUGAAAUUCGUAGAUAUUCGGAAGAACAUCAGUGGCGAAGGCGACUCGCUGGACAAGUAUUGACGCUGAGGUGCGAAAGCGUGGGGAGCAAACAGG
rnacentral:rRNA from 1 species